AUGCUGCUGAUGAGGUCCGCCGCCGCCCCCUGCUCCUUCACCUUGCUCCUCCGCCGCCUCACCUCCUCCUCCUCGGCUUCAUACGCCAUCCGCCGUCAGGCCACCCUGGCCCUCUCUUCCCUAUCCUCCCCCUCCUCCUCUGCUAGAUUCACCACCUGGUCCCCUCCCCAUCUUUCCGGCAGCACCCGGACCGGGCGCUUCUCGGCCUGGGCGUCGGCGCCGGGACCGGCGGGACCCACAGGCUCCACCAUCACGCAGUCUAUGGAGACCAAGAUCAAGGAGCAGCUGGAGGCGGACACUGUCACCGUCGUCGACGCCUCAGGGGAUGGCCGCCACAUCUGCAUAGACGUGGUUUCGAAGGCGUUCGAGGGGAAAUCCGCUGUGAACAGGCAGAGAAUGGUUUACAAGGUUAUAUGGGAGGAGCUUCAGAGCACCGUGCAUGCUGUGGACCAAAUGACCACCAAGACUCCAGGUGAGGCGGCUGGCAACUAG
rnacentral:rRNA from 1 species